rnacentral:lncRNA from 1 species
CCUUCUCUCUUCUGCCACCAUGUGAAGAAGGUCCUUGCUUCCUCUUCAUCAUCUAUCAUGAUUGCAAGUUUAGGCCUCCUCAGCCACGUGCAACUUUUAUUUCACCCUGAAGCCAAAGAGAACUUUCUGAAAGACAAAUUUGCUCAUGCUAUAAUAGUUACUGACAAAUAUUUAAAGGACUAAGUUGUGUAAGGAAUCUACACUGUCAGGCAGAACCAGGAUUCCUGGAAGUAGAACUGGGCUGCUUCAUAAGUCUGACUUCAUAUGACAGCUAGAUUCAAAAGGAUGAAAUCAGUAGAGGUGAGACCUCUUGAUGCCUUGGCUUGGAAGUCACAUAUUCUAUUGGCCAAAGCAAAUCACAAGGCCACCACAAAUUCAAGGAGAUGAAGAAAUAGACUCUACCUCUCUUGAUUGGCUUAUAAUAUGGUCAGUUCUUCAGAGGAAGAGGAAAAUUUCAUCUGGCCUCAAAUCUCAGUGAUCGCAUUUGUGGGAACAUAAUGUCUGAAGUAAAGACUAAGUAGAAGUCUGACAAGCAAAAAAAGAAAAAAAGACAAAGACACUCCAAGCAAGAGAAACAACCUGAGCAGAAGCACCCAGGUAUGACAGAAAACGUAGAGAGGAAAGGCUUCCAAAAGCAACAGAGAUUCACAGGAAGCUCCACAGAAAAACGGGUGGUGCAAAAAAUUAGGCAAGAGGGAAAAUGGGGUUAGGCCAUGUACCAACAUGUUCAUCAUUAUACAGUGAUUGGACUUGGAAAGGCAGAAGAGAAGCAAGAGCCAGCAUCCUCAUCUUAUAAACAGAAAAGCUGUCUGGGCGUGGUGGCUCAUGCCUGUAAUCCUAGCACUUUGGGAGGCCAAAGCGGGCGGAUCACGAGAUCAGGAGAUCGAGACCAUCCUGGCUAACACAGUGAAACCCCGUCUCUACUAAAAAUACAAAAAAUAUUAGCCGGGCAUAGUGGCGGGCGCCCGUAGUCCCAGCUACUCGGGAGGCUGAGGCAGGAGAA